UGAACGUGUAUCAUGAAACUGAAAAUUUAAAAAACUGAUUGGAUUGAAUAAACUGAAAAAAUAAAAUGAAGAUGGAAUGGACGAAGGAAAAAAAUUCUUGUACAAAAAUCGAAUUUCAAGUUGCCAUGACGUUUCAAUUUCCAAACCAAAGUUCAGAAUUCAAACAAACAAAAAUUGAAAAAAAAAUACAAAAAACAAUCCCAUUGGAAAUUGAGAAAAGACAAUGGAAUGUCAAAGACAAAAUAAAAAUGUAGAAAAAGGAGGCGAAAAUCGAGAAGUUCCAAAUGAAACUGCAAUCAGAAAUUAAGAAAUGGAAGCAAAAAGGAAUAUAUUUAUAAAAAGGCAACAAAAUUUGGAAUCCAAAUUGAAAGUUAUAAACAAAACGACUAGAUUGAGGAAACUCAAAAAUCGAAAUGAAAAUUGAAUAGACGAAGAGAAAAUAUCGAUUAUAAAUGGGUAAACCGGUAAAUGACAGUACCCGACAAGCCCUGCAAAUUUUUCCAUAUAGCUGUCAUAUAUACCUAUCUCCCAAUUUACAUUAUUGUCUCCAUUAAAGGCAUAUUUAUUAUCGAA